rnacentral:rRNA from 1 species
UACGAAGGGGGCUAGCGUUGUUCGGAAUUACUGGGCGUAAAGCGCGUGUAGGCGGGUCUUUAAGUCAGAGGUGAAAGCCCAGGGCUCAACCUUGGAACUGCCUUUGAUACUGGCUAUCUUGAGUAUGGGAGAGGUGAGUGGAACUCCGAGUGUAGAGGUGAAAUUCGUAGAUAUUCGGAAGAACACCAGUGGCGAAGGCGACUCACUGGCCCAUUACUGACGCUGAGGCUCGAAAGCGUGGGGAGCAAACAGG